rnacentral:tRNA from 1 species
GCUCGGGUAGCUCAGUGGAUAGAGCAGUAGUUUCCUAAACUAUUGGUCGCAGGUUCAACUCCUGUCCCGAGUA